AACGUUUUAAAAUAGUUUCAUUAUUGAAGUGUAUAUAAUUAAAUAUAUAUCAAUGGGUAAUUAAAAUUCACAACUUAGCCUGCAUUAUAAAAUAUUAUAAACAAGCCUCCAAGAAAGGCAAAAAUAGCAGAUGUAAGUGUGUAAACCUUUCACAGUUUGUUUCUUGUCAUCUUCCCUUUUGGAAGGGGUUGGUGUGACAACCUAUCAGUAGCUCUCAGAUGUCCCAUGAGAAUGGCACGUGUUAAGUUUAUUUCCCAGAGAUGGGGCUGGGCCGUGCUGCUUCACACCUCAGUCUCGCGUGGUCUUUGUUGGCCCAGCGGCAGAUUCUCCAGGGCAUGAGCCACCUGGUCUGAGCGUGCAGACAUUCCGGAGGGCUCCGCAGUGCAGUGGCCGCAAUUUUCAAUCUAGAAUCGGGUUCAAGUCCGUGCUAUCCGUGCUCUUAUCCUGGGCAAGUUGUUUUACUUCUCUAAGCCUCACUUUCCUUUUUUUUUUUUUGGUAAAAUGGGAAUGACUGUAGUAUCCACUCUGGGAUUUUAUGCAGCUUCACUGAGAUAAUGUACAUAAGAAUCUUAGCACAACGUAGGAGGUGCUCAAUAAAUAUAAUUUGUAACUAGAGAGCUUGGGUCCACAGUAUGAAUGGAUCUACUUCUGUAUCAAUUUAACAAGCAUCCUGUGGGAAACCGAGUAGUGUUCUCUGUGAAGGAUUAAAUAGGCUUACUUUCCAGUUUACUUUUAUUUCUGGAGUCUGUAACUGGACGUUAUUCCCUUCCUACUUGAUUUUGCUACUGCACAGUACCUACAUCUAUUUUAGAAUUUUGAGGUGGUGUGUUUUGUAGUUGGCUUUGAUAUAAUGUGUGAUACUUAAAUGUUUUAUAAAGGAUUUUUCUCUGUAACUUAAAGGAAGCUGUUUGGAGGCCUAACUAUGGAAAGGGCCCAUUUUUUAACAAGCACUGUCAUUCAACCUGGCCGUCAUGUGUCCGGUGGCCUCUCCCCACGUCCCUUUUCCCACUUGAAGGCAUAUGUUACAUUUUUAGCCUUCAGAGAUUUGACUUAGGGAGAAAGGAGGAUAAGUAAAAAAUCAGUUCCCAAGUUCGUAAACAGCGACAUAAUUGGGGAAGCUUUCAGAACUUAGUUACAACCCACACGUUAAAAGCUUUAAGGAGCUAGCUUGGUUUUUUUUGUUUUUAUUCUUUAUUUUGUUCAUAUGUUAGAGGACUCUGUACCUCCACCAGCUUGGGGGCCUGUAAUUUGACUCCCUUUUCAUUCCUAAGGCAUCCUCCUUUCCUCAGAGCAAGCAUAAGGACAAAAAUGCCUUAAGACAGAAAGUUUGUUCCUUCGAGUUAGAACAUAUGUGUGUGGUUGACGUUACCGCACAGGAGCACGUGCAUGACAUGGCCUGUGGCUGCAGCUGGAUGGAGCUCACAAUGGAUCUAAUAAUGGAUUUAAAUGUUUCCCUGAGGUAGAUAAAAUGCUUUGGGGAGACAAGAGUUCCCCACGAUCCUAAAUUUCACAUACAAUGGACGGCCUCCUUCUUGUAAACCAAACUGGGCUGCUUUUGUGCCUCUUAAUAGCUCUCCGUCUUUCCCUGACCUGCGGGCACAUCUCUGCCCUCUGGACAUGCCUUUGGCGUGAGGGCCUGGCCAGCAGGAGCCCUAGUGCUGACUGCACACCUCGGAUCAGAGUAGGAUGGGGGUGAAUCUAAGACUGCUGUCAGACCUGAGAGAUGCUCUGCCGUUUGCAGGGGGGCUCACACGGUCUUCAUCACCGCCACUCUCUGACUCAGUACAACUGUCGCCCAGGUCCUGCCCCCGGCGUGGGGAGGUGGGCGCUGCUGAGACCGUGGACACUUUUCUGAAGGUGCCUCCUGCCCACGUGUAAGGGCAAUGAUUUCACAUCUGUACUGGUCCAGGAGGAGUCAAGUUAGGGCUCGUCCCGUGCGGCUUCCCCCGUAGUCACCAGCUGCGGUCCUUCUCCGCAGCUCAGCUUGCUCUGUGGGUGAGGGCCCUGCCUGGCUUUCACUAGGAGCGGGGCGCUAGCGGUGACUCCCCUCACUGGUCGGAUAAAACCGGAGUGAACUAGAAACAUCUCCCCUGCUGCCUGCAGAAGACACUCCGAAUCGAAGGAAGCAAUCAGUACUAACCCUGGAAGUAGAAUUUAUAAAUGGAAAGCCCUACUCUGAAGUAAAAUGUCUUACUAGCUGGAGGGAGGGGGUGUGUCUUGAGGCAGGUGACAUGAGGACUACCUGAGAGAAAAGUAUCAUGACCACCUGUCAUGUGCAAGGCACUUGGCUACAUCCUAGGGCUGAUGCCAAGUCCAUCACUGUUCCUGGGGGUGGGGCUCAACUCCAGCUGAGCCGAGUGUUAUUAGGGUCAGGGUGUGAACAGGGACCCUCUUCUGGUCCAGGGACUGGAGGGGGUUUCCCUGAGGAAUUGAGGGUUAGGCUGCUAACCUAGUGGGUGAAUGGGAGUUAGCCAGAUGGCGGUGGGAAUGUUCUAGAAUCUCGAAGAAAGAGUAUGUUCAGAGCCUGAUGAAAUGAGGAAGUGAGAGGCCUUGCAGGUAUCUGUUCCUAAGCAGAUGGAGUCCAGAGCCGCUUAGGAAGGAGAGCUGGCAGGCCUGGGGUGUGGAUCGGACCGAGUGAGUGGUGGGGCGGGGGGGGGGCAGGAGUGGAGGCGUUGGCCUGAGCAGCUUGGUGGCGGCCGUGCUGUCAAUGGUAUCGGGAGCGUUUGAGGUAGAGCAGGUCUCCUACACCAUCUCCCUGCAGUUCAGGACUUUUGAGUGCUAAGGGCUUCCAGGACAUUUAAGUGGGCGUGUCAAGUGGAUCGUUAGAUAUAAAAGGACAGGUUGAAGGGGUGAAGGUGAGGCCUGGGGUGGUAGAUUUUGGUCCUUCUGUAAGCAGGUGAUGGGGACUGAGAUGACGUAAAGGGAGGUGGGAGGAGAGCCCGGGCACUUUCACCAGAGAAACCUGUACAGUCGGAAAAGUAAGAGCCCACGCCUGCCUUGGGCCUUCAGAUGAUUUAGGACUAGCGAGGGCAGAGAGGUCACCUAGGCCCUCGCCACCCGGCGUAGUCGGGACUUGCAGCAUCAGCAUCGCCCAUUCUGCCUGUUAGAAACGCAGAUCCUCAGGCCCGGCCCAGACCUACUCAGAACCUGCGUAUUAACAACGGCUGUGGGUAAUUGAUAUGCACGUGCAAGGGUGAGAAUCACUUGCUUGGCACCUCACUGGGUGAGGUGAAAACCUAAGAGAAACCUUGGAGAAAACCUAAGAGUUGAAGCGGCUUGUUCAAGAUGCCACACCUGACCAGUGACAGCCUCCAACUUCCAGGCCAGGCUCUGGCCGCCACGAUGACCUCGACUUUUGGGAUCACAUACCACAACCUGCAGCCGGACGAUCCCUCCAGCUGCUGUGACCACCCGAAGUGGAGUUACGGGUGAGACUAACAUCAGUUCAUGUAGACUCUUGGCAUAUGGGCUGACUAAGCUUAGUGAUUCUGGAAGGACUGCAUUGUUCUCAUGAACCACGAUAGACAUGGCUUUCCUGAACCUGGAAAUGUUGAACAGGUUUAUCUCUGACUGUCUUUUCAUUUAACUAUGUAACUAAAAUAGCUCCCGGGAGACUCUGAAGAGUGAACACGGAGACUCUGCUGCUUCCCCUUCUCCUCCUCUAAAUGCUGUCCCUUGUCCCCCUUCCUUUCUCCCAAGGUCAUUUUUGUUCCUUCUGGUUUCCAGGGUCCAGCAUUCUUCUUCCGGCUUCACCUCUUCCCUGGCGGUGUUUCAGGCUGGUGUCUGGGGUGUCGUGUGACAAAGUCGGGAGCCCUUCACCGAGACUGUUUCUGCUACGUGGCAGCCAUAGGCCCCUUUUGUCUCUCCCGCCUGUCCGCCAAGUCCAGACAAAUCGUGCAAAUCCAGAUUGUUAAUUCAGGCCCCCAGCCCAUGCCUCUGGAUUAAGUGAGGCUCUUGAGGACUCUCUGAACAAAGGUAAAAAUAGAGUUGUAAAUGGAAGAAAAAGUAAGGGGAUUCAUUCUGUUUUAGUGAUUAUCAGGGAAGCCUUCCCUUUUUCCUUCUCUCUGAAGCAUUUCAGCUUGCUCGCUCCUUGCUGCCGUUACUCACAUUUGCCCACAUGCGGCUGGCAGCAAGCCCUCAGCACGUCUUUCCAGGGCGGUGGGCCCCUCAGGAACAGGAGACUCCGGAAAAGCAGGGAUGACUUUGGCCUCUGCUUCCUGUCUGUCGCCAAAGGUUAGGUGUUGGCAAAUUACAGCCACCCUCCUGCUUUGGUAUGGCCUGCCCAGCUAAGAAUGGUUUUUAUAUUUUAAAUGGUUGAAAAACAUCAAAUGAAUAACAUUUCAUGUUGUGAAAAUUAUAUGAAAUUUAGAUUUCAGUACCCAUAAAUGAAGUCUUAGUGGAACACCACCACAUUUUAAAAUUUGCAUAUUGCCUGUGGUUGCUUUUUGCUACACUGGCAGCGUUGAGGAGUUGCCACAGAGAGCAUGCGUGGCGCACUCAUUUUGCCCUGCUGUUUGGUGCCCUACACGUGGCAGUGAUGGUUAUAAAUCAACAGUAUUUUCAGUGCUGCACAUUUUACCAUGCCACGCAUUUAUUUUUUAUUACCAGUGUGGUCAUUAUGUCAAAACAAGAGAAGGGGAAAGUGGAUUUCAAAUAUCACAGUUUUGAUGGAGUAUGGGUUAUUUUGUUCCUGAAUUAAGUGGCAACAUGCAAUGAUAUGGUAGCUGUCACAUUACAAAGAAUACAAUAUGUGUUGGCAUUACCCUAAACAUCCAACAAAUGACUUCUAACUCACAAGAAAGCAAUGGUCAGGAAAAUUAGAAAAUUUAAAAUUGAACAUCUCAUCACAGAAUUCCUUCACAGAAAUAAAAAUGGAAAAGGAGGCUGCAACCAAAGUCAGUUUCUGAUUGGCUCAUUUAUUAGGCAAGCAAGGAAAGCCACUUACCUAUGGUGGGUUAAUUCAAUCGUGUGUGAUGCAGCAGCUGAAGAAACACCACCAGAGAAAGUAAGCCUGUUUAGAACUACCAGCCUUUCGAUGGUAAGAGUUGCUCCAAAAUUUUGCAGACAACAGGAGUGACAUCAAUAGUCAAUUAAAAAACAAAGCAAAUGAUUUUGAGUGUUUUUCUGUGACUCUUUUUUACAAGAGUUGAUGUAUGUUAGCUUACUUGAGGAACCUGUGCUAAGUUGGAAAUUAGCCUUUGUGCACACCCUGUGGUGUAACAACUACAGACAAAAAUAUUUUCAAAGUUGAGAAACUGAGUACAACCUGAAGUGGAAUCUGCUAAGAUGUGCUACAACUGAUGGUGGAAAAAAUAUGUGAAGAGUAGAAAAAGGAUUAACAGGACAAACUUACAAUGCUUGUGAUAAUAUAACGUGUUAAAGUGUAGGGUUAUUUGUUGUAUUAUUUAAAUCACUGGGUAUGUUGUGGAAAAUAUUUGAAUCAUGUGUUAUUGAACCAAUAUUGUCAACAGUGAACUUCAGUUGCUGUUGUGGACUUACCUGGCAACAGUUCCAUGAAUUCUUGUCAGAAAUAGUAGCUGAAAGUCCUGACCUGGUCUAUAACACAACAGUUCAGUGGUUUAGUAGUCGUAAAGUUUAUUUCAAUUUUGACCUCAGGACCAAGACUGAAACUUUUCUGAAUAAGAAGAACUGCCCUCAACCACUAUUGUCAAACACUGAACAGCUUUGGAAAUUAGCUUUUGCUGCAGAUUGGUAAUGUUUCCUAAUGAAUUCUAUCUAAAAUCACAAGGGAAAACUGUUUAUACAUGGAAUUCACACUACGGUAAAGUCAUUUCAACAAGAACUAACGUUGUUGGGAUCGCAACUAAUGUUAACAUGUUGUCAAAAGUUGAAACAAGAAGGAAGAGUUCCAUUAUUCCCACACACGUUUGCGGCAGGUAUAUUAUCUGAGCUCAUACUGCAGUUCCAGGAGCCAUUUUUAGACCUUAAUGUAAACCCAAAAGAAAUGUGCACAUUUCAAAAUCCAUUAGCUGCAAUUGAGGAGCUUCCACGUAACCUUCAAUUGAAGUGAUUAAUCUGCUAAAAAGCAAACAUCAAGAGAAAAAUCUAAUAGAAUUCUAUAAAUGUCUUUCUUUCUUUUCUUUUCUUUUUUUUUUUUUUUUUGCCACUCUGCACAGCAUGUUGGAUCUUAGUUCCCCAACCAGGGAUCCAACCCAUGUCCCCUGCAGUGGAAACGUGGAGUCCUAACCACAGGACCACCAGGGAAUUCCCUAUAAAUGUCUUUCAAGCGAUAAAUAUGUGCAGUUAAAAACCUUGUGCUCAUCGACUGAUAUCAGUAUUGGGAAGUACCUAUCCGUGGGAAGACAUUUUCAACCAUGAUAUAUGUAAAAUCUCAUUACAAAUCAGCAUUAGCAUAUGAAGGUGUGCAAUUAAUUUUGAUACUAAUCACUAGCUUUGAACUUCAAUUAAGUGAAAUGUUAUCUCCCCCAAAGAAUUCAAAUUAUUCUUAUUACUAGACCUGUAUUACACAAAAAUUAUACUCAAUUAUUAUUAUAGUUGGCUUUCACCAAUUAAAUUUUUUUUAUUAAUUAUAUAAAUUCCUACACAAUAUCCUAGAGUUUUGCUUCUUGGCCCAGAAAACCUAAGACAUUUAAUAUCUGGCCUCUUAAAAAGUCUGCCUUUGGGACUUCCCUGGUGGUGCAGUGCUAAAGAAUCCACCUGCCAAUGCAGGGGACAUGGGUUCGAGCCCUGGUCCGGGAAGAUCCCACAUGCUGCAGAGCAGCUAAGCCCAUGCACCACAACUACUGAGCCUGUGCUCUAGAGCCCACGAGCCACAACUACUGAGCCCUCACGCCUAGAGCUCAUGCUCUGCAACGAGAGAAGCCACCACAAUGAGAAGCCCGCGCACCACAAUGAAGAGUAUACCCCACUCGCCGCAACUAGAGAAAGCCCGCACGCAGCAACAAAGACCAAUGCAGCCAAAAAUAAAUAAAUAAAUAAAAAUCUGCCUUCUCCUACAAUAGAUGGAGCAAAGAAAGAGUAAGUGAAUUCAGUCUCCAGAUGAGUACACCAAAAGGCAAGUUUGGGACAGAGGUCCAGGACCCUCUGGCCGUACUCCCAGAAACAAUCUCUGCUCCCCAAAGAGUCUUUGGGCCAUGGUCUGUUGGUAUAGGACCAGGCCAUGAUGCAGAGAACCACCAACGGGACAGCCCCAUGUCCAGCAGCAGGGAGUGAUAGACCAGUUUGUGGCUCAAAGCUUGUCUACUGACAAGGUCUGUCCUCGGAUGCCUGACCUCCACUCAUCAGUUUGCCCGUACAAAGGCGUUGAAAGGUUUACCUUUUCCUCCUGAUGCAGACUUCAGCCGGGUGUCCAACAAUUCAAUUCAAUUCUGACACUAUCUACCUGGAGUUAGCAUCAGAUUCUGCAUGUAAAAGGGUUCAGUCCCGCAAGACUGCCGCCACUUCAGAUGCCAACCACAAGUUCUCAGACUCCUGUGCUUCUGAUCGACCAGGGUACUCAACUUCUCUGGGUCUUAGUUUCUUCAUCUGUAAAAUGGGGAUGAGACUAUUACCCACCCUGUAGGUUAUUGUGGGAUUAAAUACAUUUAUAUUAUAAAUAAUCUUAGAACGGUGCCUGGCACAUAGCAGAGCUUAGUAACUGUCAGUUCUUAUUAGUUGUUCUAGCUUCCCAGAAGGUAAGGACUGUUACCUGCAGCUCAGUAACUGGCCUAAGGUCACAGAGCUGUUAAUUUUGGAGUCAGUUUUCAAGCCUAGGUUUUCAGACUGAGCGAGUUCACUCACCAUUACCCCAAACGGCCUCCCAUCCAAGCCUCCACCCCGACUCCAGCUCUGUCUCUUGCCUCCUAGGCCCCCGGUCCAUCACUUACCUGAUAGCAUUCUCACAGACAAACAUUGACCUCCUCCAUUUAAAAUCCUACCCCAUCACUGCCAGGAUAUAAUUUAAGGUUCUAGAAAAUUCAUUCAAGAGCUGACACCCACCUGCCCCACUGAGCCGCAGCCUCCUGUGUUCCAGCUUCACCAGCCUCUCAAAUGUGCCUGCAUCAGCCUUUGCUCCCAGCCUGAUCUUCUGUGAUGCCUUCCUGGUCCUUGCCAGUGCCCCCUCCCUCCAUGACCCAGGGUCCUGCCUGUGUUCCACGGCUCCUGUGUGCACCCGCAAACGUCGACCAAUGUGUCAAAGUUAACAAUGUCUCUCUGGCCAGCACCUGGAGGGCAGGGCCUGCUUCUCCUUCCUCCUCUCUCUCCAGUGCUUGGGGUAAAGUCAAUACAGGAUGCCGGACGCCUGUGGAGUAAAAGAAUGAAUGGGAGCAUGUGCUUCCUGGAAAGGAAGAGAAUUUGGCCGGACCCGUUAAGUCUCUUUCCAAAAGCUUUUUGAAGUUUGUGUGUUUGGGACUCCCUGAAGCAGGAAGUUGCUCACAGAAUCAUGGAUGGAGAGACACCAUGUCUCACUCUUGUACCUGGCAGAAUAUUCUCAGGCCAGAGAGAGGAAUCAGCUACCUCUACCCCUCUGGCUUUAGGGAAACAGAGGGGUGCUACACCUCCAUUCAUGGUGUUGACUGAAGGAAAAACACACAAUGUAAGAAUUAUGAGUUAAGUUUUAUUCAAGGAUCUGACUGAGGACUAUAUAGCCCAGGAAACAGCCUCUCAGUAGCUCUGAGGGGACUGCUCCAAAGAGGUGGGGGGAGAACCAGAAUAUACAUGAGUUUUGGCUCAGGAAUACGUGCAGUCAAGCACACAUCUUGGUAAAACACUACUGCUAGUCACAAGGAGUAGGUAUCUCAGUUAAUGAUUUUAGUGCUUUUCUAUGUAGGGGAAGAUGCAAGAAUCUGGGUUCAUUAAAGUUCUUUCUGAGAUAUACAUCCAACUAUCUGAGGGGUAUGUUUUUUCCAAAGCACAGAGUGCCUCUUCCUGUUUUCUGUCCUGAAUUUCUUUCAGGGUGAACUAGGACUUAAUCCUUGUAGAACUGAAUGGUGGGUAACAUUCUUUGUUUUUACAGUGGAUACCACCCUGGGGCAGAUUCUUUUUGUUUUGUUUGCACAGAUCGGAAGCUUGGGGCUGGGGGCCAUCGAAGGUGACCUUUGUGCACCCAGCAUCCAGGCUGAGCAGGCCUGGGUGGGGCUGGAGUGAGGGUGACAUGCCCGCUAUCAAGAGGCCAGGGUAGGGGUGCAGGUGGUUUGAAGGAGGCUGGAACAGGCAUUGGACCACAACCAAAGACCGGGAAACGGGUGAAGGAAAACAAAAAAAAAACAGGUAAGAAUUGCACCAAGGGAAUUUUGUUUUUUGAACCUGAAGACAAUUUUUUAAAAAUAGACAAGUUUCUUUGGGUCUCUGAGUAUUUAAUAAAUGGUUAUAUGUUUUAUAAGUCUAAAUUGCAAAAAAUCUGUGGUGAUGAAAAGUCUGGGCUUGAGAAGUGUGCCCAUCUGGGUCCCAGGUGAUACUCCUCCGUUGAGAGACAUGGGACAGAAGCCCAAUGUCACCACAUAGACCAGAGUCACAAGAGUAGCAUCAGGGUUUUAUAAGGUGAAAAUAAACCCUAUUCAAGAUUAGAUAUGUAAACCUCGGGUUGGGAGGUGACAGCAAGUGUUAACAUACUGUCAAAGGAAACUUCUUGGACCUUAAAACUACCUCUAGAGCAUUGACGGCUCAGUCUUUCUAGAAAGGCCCACGGCUGCAGGGGACCAGCUAACUGCCCAUCUGUGAUGCUUCCGGUCAAGCAGAGUGGUGACUUUUGCCCUGGAAAGGGUGAGUCUGCAUCUCCUCUCCUUUCUCUGACUAACUUUCAACACAGAGAAAGGGUUUUUGUUUUUGUUUUUGUUUUUUGCGGUACGCGGGCCUCUCACUGUUGUGGCCUCUCCCGUUGCAGAGCACAGGCUCCGAACGCGCAGGCUCAGUGGCCAUGGCUCACGGGCCCACCCGCUCUGCGAUAUGUGGGAUCUUCCCGGACCGGGGCACGAACCCGCGUCCCCUGCAUUGGCAGGCAUUGGCAGGCGGACUCCCAACCACUUCGCCACCAGGGAAGCCCAAGGGUUUGUUCUUGUGUGACCAAGUUCUCCCAAGACACAGCAGCCUUGGGAUGAAAGAGGAACUGUGAUGAGAAGACAGAAUCUCCCUAGCUCCGCCCCCGCCCCGCCCUUACCUGUCCACGCCCAGCCCUAGCUCUCCCCAAAACCUGUGGAGCGUGAUGUCACAGUCCUCCUGCUGCUGGAAUGACCCGUCUCCAGGCAUCCUGGGCUAAUCUCCAGCGGGCCCUGAAAACACUGUCUGCCCAUCACUUCCCUGGCGGCCUGGUCUCAGAUCUGCAGAGCUGAGAAAGUGGGGCAGCCCCUUCACCCCAGCGCUCAUUUUCCCAGGGCUGCCCUGGGCCCCCAGUGCUGGGGGGCUGGGAAAGCUCUGGGCACGCCCCACUGCAGGACUCCUUCCAGACAAUUCCACUGGUUUGCUGUCCUCAGCUCUGGCUUCUGGGCCUCUAUGUCCUUGGGAGGAAUUAUUUCCUCUUUCCCUUUUGCAACCGCCCCGGCAGCUGCCCUGGCUGGCCUUCGGGGCCGCGGCAAUCCUUAGGUACUAAGCCACAUCAGGCACAGCUGAAUGUGAACGUCCACUGCUCAGAGUUUGAUUUGGGUGCCAUUUGGGGCAUUUUCUAGAAUGAUAUUUUUUGUGACAAAAUUCCAGCUAUAGUUUCUAACUGCAGUAAGGACAAAAGGGCAAUGAGUUUCCCAAACUAGAAGCAUUCAGAGACUUUUUGAGUUUCUAUGAUAAUACGCCAAAAAUCUCUUCAACUUACCUUUUUUUUUGUUUUGCUGAAAAUGUGAUAUUUCACCCAAAUUACUUCAGUAAUUUGCAUCUCUAAAAAAAAUGACAAUUUCCUGCUUAACCAAGCAAAAUUAACAGUAAUUCCUUACUGUCACAUCCAAUACCAGGUCCACAGUCAACUUUCCCCAUUGUCCCCCCAAUAUAUUUCACUGCUGAUUUGUUCAAACUAGGAUUCAGUCAAGGUCCAGACAUUGCAUUUAGUUGUUGUGUUUCUUAAAUCUCCUUAGAUCCAGAAGUUUGUUCUCUAUAUUUUGGGUGAUAGAACAGUUUUCCCCACUCUAAUAUGUUUAAUAGUUUCAUUUUUUACAUUUAAAUCUUUGAUCCAUUUGUAAUUUAUUCUAUUGUUAUCUUGUGAGGCAAGGAUCCGAUUUUGUAUUUCCCCAAAUGGCUAUGUGGGUGUUUCAACACCUUUUAUUAAAAAGUCCAUCUUUCUCCCAUUAAUUAAAGAUUUCACAUGUAUCCUUUGUCAUAUGUUAACUGUCAUAAUUGCUUGGGUCUUUCGUACCUUCUAACAUGUUGCAUGGUGUGUAAGCCUACCCAUAUGCCACAAACACACUGUUUUCACUGCAGAGGUUCUGUGGCACGUUUUAGUAUCUGGCAGGCCAGUACCCCCAAUUUAUCACUCUUUUCCUCACAGUUUUCCCGGUUAUUCUUGCUGGUUUAUUUUUUUCCAUAUGACUUUUCAAAUAAAUAUAUCUAAUUUCAGAAGAAAAUUCUGUGAAUGAUGAAUUGACUUGGGAAGAAUUGAUUCUCUUUGAUGUUGAGUCAUCUCAUCCAAGAACAUGGUCUGUCUUUUCAUUGGUUAAAUCCACUUUUGUGUCUUUCAGGAGUGUUGUAAAAUUUUCUCAUAAAAGUUUUACACAAUUCUUUUAAAUUUUACGCUGAGGUAUUUUUCCUUUUUUGUUUGUACUGUAAGUGGGAUUUUUCUCUUCCCUUAUAUCUUCUAAUUGGUUAUUAUAUGAAUAUAGGAAGGCUAUUUAUUUUAUGGUAUUUUAAUGUUAAUUUUAUAUCCUUACUAAAUUCUCUCAUUUUUUUUUUUUAGUAUAUUGUCCAUGGACUCUUGUGCUUUUCUAGUAUGCAAUAAAAUCAUCUGCAAACAGGGAUGUUUUAUAUUUUCCUUCCAGUGGCUGUCAUUUUGUUGUUCUCUCAUCUAGCGACAUUAGCUAAUAAUUCCAGUGCAGUUAUUGGAGUGGUAGAAAACAUAGUGGGUCUCCUUGUCUUACUCCUGACUUUCUUUAUAAUUUGUACAGUUGUACCAGUUAUCUUUUGAUUAGUGUUUGCAUAAUAUAUCUUUUACUAUCCUUUUACUUUCAGGCUUUCUGUAUCCUUUUGUUUUCUAUCUGUCUUUUGUCAACAGCAUAGAGUCAGACUGGACAUAUUUUUAUCCACUCUGAAAGUCUUUUUGUUUUUAAUUGGACUUUUAAUCCACUUAGAUUUAAUAUAAUUGCUGAUGUAUUUGGAAUUGUACAUUGAUUCCAUAUUAAUUAUAUGUUAGAUUUAAUAUAAGUAAGAAUAUAUUUGGAAUUAUACAUUAUUUAGAAUUAUAUUACCUACUCUUUUUGUCCCCAGUGAUUUCUAUUUCUAUGUAAUUUUCUUCUUCUUUUGGGUUGAUAGUAUAUUUUUCAAUUAUCAUUCUAUUUUCCCCAUUAGUCUGGAAAUUAUCCAACACUCCACUUGUCUUUUAGUGGUAACCAUAGAGAUUAAAAAGUGUGACACUCAUUUAUCUAAGGUUACUAUUAUUAAAGCACUUCACCCUCUUUCUAGACAAUGCAAGGAUCUUAGAAUAUUUUUAACUGUACAUACUUCUCAAUUUACAUGAUAUGAUUAUUAUAUCUGAACUCUAUUUUUAGCCCACAGUAGAUUUUAUUGCUUUCUAUGAAGUCAGCAGUCGGUAGGAUUUACCCACAGUAAGAUUCACCCUUUUUCAUACUCUUCAUUCCUUCCUGCAUCUCUGAGCUUCCAACUAGGAUUGUUUUCAUUCUGCUUGAAGGACACCUUUUAAGUUUUUUAUUGUUUGUUUUUUGUUUUUUCUGGUAUGCGGGCCUCUCACUGUUGUGGCCUCUCCCGUUGCGGAGCACAGGCUCCGGACACGCAGGCUCAGCGGCCAUGGCUCAUGGGCCCAGCCGCCCCGCGGCAUGUGGGAUCCUCCCGGACCGGGGCACGAACUCAUGUCCCUUGCAUCGGCAGGCAGACUCUCAACCACUGCGCCACCAGGGAAGCCCAAGUUUUUGUUCUUUUAAAAUUGCAGUCUACUGGUAGUGAAUUACUUUAGUUUUUGAUAUUUGAAACUAUUCCUUACGUUCAUUUUUUUAAAAAUAAAUUUAUUUAUUUAUUUUUGCUGUGUUGGGUCUUCGUUUCUGUGCGAGGGCUUUCUCCAGUUAUGGCAAGUGGAGGCCACUCUUCAUCGCGGUGCGCGGGCCUCUCACUGUCACGGCCGCUCCCGUUGUGGAGCACAGGCUCCAGAGGCGCAGGCUCCAAAGGUGCAGGCUCAGUAGUUGUGGCGCAUGGGCUUAGUUGCUCUGCCGCAUGUGGGAUCUUCCCGGACCAGGGCUCGAACCCGUGUCCCCUGCAUUGGCAGGCAGAUUCUUAACCACUGCACCACCAGGAAAGCCCUCCUUACCUUCAUUUUUAAGGAAUUUUAGUUCUAACGUUUAAUUUUUAAAUAAUUUCAGGAUUAUUAAAAAGUUUAAAACAUAGUGCAGAGGGUUCCCGGAUACUUUGCAUCCAGUUUCCUCUAAAGUAACCAUGUUCUGUAGCCACAAUACAAUUAUGAAAGUCAGGAGGUUAACACUGAUACUAUACUAGUCACUGAUCUACAGUCCUUAUGCAGAUUUCAUCAGCUGUCCCACUAACGUCGUUUUUCUGGACCAGAAUCACGCGUCGCAUUUAGUUGUCAUGUCUCUUCUGUCUCCUAUACUCUAGGACAAUUCCCCAGUCUUUGUCUUUCAGGACCUUCACACUUUUGAAGAGUUCCAUCCCGGUAUUUUAUAGAAUUUCCGUUGGAUUUGUCUUUUCUGAUUUUUUUGUGAUUAAAUUAGGGUUAUACAUUUUUGGUAAGAAUACCAACAAGUGAUAUUGUGCUCUUCUCAUUACAUCACACCAGGAGGCAUAGGCUUUUGUUAUAUCUUAUUACUGGUGAUGUUAACUUUGAUCCCUUGGUUAAAGUGGUAUUUUUCAGUUUUCUCCACUGUAAAGUUAUCAGCUUUCCCUUUGUAAGUCAUUAGCAUUUGAUGGGAGAUACUUUGAGACUAUGUGUAUACAUUAUUUAAUACUGUAUAACAAGUUACCCCCAAAGUUAGUGGCUUUAAAGUAAUAACCAUUUAUUAUCUCACAGUCUCCUUGGGUGAGGAAUCUGGGAGAAGCUCAAUGGGAUAGUUUCGCUUGGGGUCACUAGGGCUGAGGUUGUAGUCAAGAUGUCCAUCAGGGCUGCAGUCAUCUGAAGGUUUGACUGGGCCUGGAGGGUCUCCUGCCAAGAUAUCUCCCUUCCAGACUGUUGGUAAGAGGCUUUAGGUAGUCACUGAAUUCAUGCAGAAGCUUCAUGUCCUCACCAUGGGGAUCUCUGCGUAUGACCCCUAUAGCAUCCUCACAUAGCACCUAGCUUCCACCAAGUCCAGUAUGCCAAGAGCUUUAGGUAGAAGCUACAAAGUCUCUAUGACUUAUCUCCUCACUCUGUCAUUUCCUCAGUAUCUUAUUGGUCGUCCCUAAAUGAGGAGGGGUCUACAUAGCAGCAGGAGUACUGGGACCUGGGGAUCAUCGUUGGCCAUCUCCAUGGACCUCGGUUCCUCUGGGCUUUUGACCCCACCUUUUCAGGCAUCCUUCCUUCUCCAUGAAAGGCAGCUGACGUUUGCUGCAGAAUUGUUUGCUUAGCCUGUGUGUCAGUCAGGGUCCAUCCAGAAGACAGAAACCACACAGAAAUUUGUACAGGGAAAGCUUAGUAUAAAGAAGUAUGAACAGGAGUACCGGGGAAUGGCUAAUAAGAGGCCGCUAGAGAAUACAGGCACAGAGACUUCCCUGGAGGACCAGUGGUUAAGACUCCACCCUCCCAAUGCAGGGGUCGUGGGUUCAGGCCCUGGUCGGGGAGCUAAGAUCCUGCAUGCCGUGCACUGGGGCCACAUAUAGAAAAAAAAGAAAUAAAAUAAGAACAGGCACAGGGAGCCGACACCACACCUGGGACUGAGACAGGCCCCUGCCAGGGCUGAGAUCCAGACCCUGCCGUGCGGGCACAGUUCAGGGGAUUACAGGGACUUCCCCAGGCAGGAUUUGCUUGCAUUCCACCCUGCAAAAGGAGGUACCACGUCUCGGAACCCUAGCGGCUGCCUCAGGAGGUGCUGCAGAGGCCCCGCAAGAAGAGGGUCUGGCUGGCCGCCAUCCUGAGCGAAGGCACCUCUGCGAAGCGCUGAGCGGUGUGUCCAGGGCACGGGCUUCCGGCGGUCUCACCUGCCGGCACUCUGCCCUGAGCCACCCGCGGAAGCCAUCCGUGGGCGACUUGCUGCCAGCCAUCCAAGGAGACGUGACUAGCCAGCAGCACUAAUUCAUACCGACGGAACUAAAUGACUAAUACGAGGUCAAGCGUUUAUUUCCUUUUGUAAGGAGCGAAAACAUAGCUUCUUAGUUCCAAUCUAACCGCCCCCUCAUUUGCCAAGUUGCCAAGGUCCUAGCUGCGUUCAGCAUAAACUCUCAGCAACAGCCCCGGGGUAUGGAUGGAUACAGUUAAAGGGUUUGGGACCUCCCUGGUGGUCCAGCGGUAAAGACUCCGUGCUCCCAAUGCAGGGGGCGUGGGUUCUACCCCUGGUCGGAGAACUAAGAUGCUGCAUGCCUCACAGCGUGGCCAAAGAUUAAAAAAAAAUAAGUGUACAGUUUGAUUAGUUUCAAUGUAUGUAUACACGUGUGUAACCACCACCGUUGUCGGAUAACAGUUCCAUCUCCUCCAAAACCCCAAUUCCCAGUGCGAUCCCUCCUUUCAUCUGCCUCAACCGCUGAUUUGCCCAGAGCGUUUAAUCGGUUAAAACAACCUUAAGAUGUAUAUAGGAGAAUCAUUUCCUGAGAGGACAGACAAGAAAGACACAAUGAGGAAGAGUGAUAGGGGCUGCAGGGACUUGCUUUACCAGAUGUCAGAAGGUUCUGUAAAGCCACUGCAACCAAAUCAGGGUCUAGGAACAGACCACGAGAUCCGAGGAAGAGCAGACAAGCCUGAAAUACGGCCCACCGUCUAUGGAUGGAAUUUAAGACGUGACAAAGGCAGUUCUCUUCAGUGGAAAACGUUUCCUGGCGCGUGCGUGUUCUCAGUCUCAGGGGCUGACAUACGUAGUUAUUUUAACACAACAUGGACACGCUUCAAGGAUUUACAGGAUCAGAGGAGGAACAAAGUGGGUAACAGAGGAUAUAACACUUAAGAAGGAUUUUGAAUGAGAAACGAGUUUGUUCCAGGGACAAGGAAGUCUCGUUUUGGACUUCUGACCUCCAGAACCGUAAGACGAUCCACCUGUGUUUGUUAAAGCCAGUGAAGUUGUGGUCAUAUGUUACAGUAGCCACAGGGGCCCAUGCAGGCCAAGUAGAUCAGGUUGGUGGUGCCUCAAGUCUGAGGGGAAGAUGGAGGCGGAAGGGCAGAUUGGGGUUUGGGGCAAGACCAAGGGGCUUACGUGACAGGGUGGCAGUGACUCCCGUUUUCGGACCAUCACACUGGCAGGAGGGUUUGGAGGCACGCAGCGAGGGGAUGUACUCUCUGUUCUGCACAGAUGACGUUUUCAUCUUGGUGACCUCACUCUUGAGAACAGCCUCUCAGGGGACGUGUUAGUGGGUAUCGCUGUCACGGUGCGCGAAAGGUCACGUGUGUUUUUCUGUUUCAGGGUUUCUGCCAAGUUUCUCUUGACCUCCCCCUUUGACAGGCUGGUUGAUUCAUUCAGGCGUCACGAGGCAGAAGAGCUGUGGACAAGAGGGAGCUCCAGGAAAUUGCCAGGUGGUUUUCGAAAGUGGCAGUACCAUUUUACAUUCCCACCAGCAAUAUAUGAGUGUUCCAGUUUCUUCACAUCCUCACUAAUGUUUGGAAUUUUCAGUCCUUUGAUUUUUUUUUUUUUGGCGGUACAUGGGCCUCUCACUGUUGUGGCCUCUCCCGUUGCGGAGCACAGGCUCUGGACGCGCAGGCUCAGAGGCCAUGGCUCACGGGCCCAGCCGCUCCGCGGCAUGCGGGAUCCUCCCGGACCGGGGCACGAACCCGUGUCCCCUGCAUCGGCAGGCGGACUCUCAACCACUGCGUCACCGGGGAAGCCCCAGUCCUUUGAUUUUAGCUAUUCUACGAGGCAUAUAAUAGUAUUUCAUUGUUUUUUUUGUUUGUUUGUUUGUUUUUGGCUGUGCCAUGUGGCAUGUGGGAUCUUAGUUCCCUGACCAGGGAUUGAACCCAUUCCCCCUGAAGUGGAAGCAUGGAGUCUUAACCACUGGACUGCCAGAGAAGUCCCUCAUUGUGGUUUUAAUUUUCACUUCCCUGAUGGCUAAUGAUGUGGAACAACUUUUCAAGUGCUUACUUGUUAUUUGUAUACCUUCUUUAGUGCAGUGUCUAUUAAAAUAUAUAUUUUUUUAUUGGGUUGUUUGUUUUCUCAUUACUGAGCUGUAAGAGUUAGUUGUGUGUUCUAGAUAUGUCUUAUUGGUUCCACCAGGUGGAUAUAUGAUUCACCAGUAAUUAACUGCUAAGUCAGACAAAGUACAACACAUUCUAAAGAGAGACAAUAAAACUCAGAGUCUCAAUAACAACAUGAACAAUAUCCAGCAAACAAUAAAAAAUUACGAGGCAUCCAAAAAAGGCAGGAGGGACUUCCCUGGUGGUCCAGUGGCUAAGACGCUCCAUGCUCCCAGUGCAGGGGGCCCAGGUUCUAUCCCUAGUCAGGGAACUAGAUCCCGCAUACCACAACUAAGAGUUUGCAUGCCUGAACUAAGAGAUCCUGCAUGCCGCAACUAAAAAAGAUCCUGCAUGCCGCAACUAAAAAAAGAUCCCACAUGCUGCAACUAAAAAAGAUCCCACGUGCCACAACUAAAGAUCCCAUGUGUUGCAACUAAGACCCAGUGUAGCCAAAUAAAUAAGUAAAUAUUAACAAAAGCCCAAAUACAAAUAUUUUUUAAAAACCAGGAAAAUAUGAUCCAUACCUAAGAGGAAAAAUUGUGCAAGAGAAAUAGAAGGUGAAAGGUUUAUUUUGGCCAUGCCACACGGCUUGUGGUAUCUUAGUUUCUUGACCGGAAAUUGAACCUGUGCCUCCUGCAAUAGAAGCUCAGAGUCCUAACCACUGGACCUCCAGGGAAGUCCCCACAUUUUCCAGUCUUGAUGAGAAAUAUCCUCCCAAAAAGUUCAACAAAACCUAAGUAGAAUAAACACAAAGAAAAACCACAUCUAGGUGUACCAUAUUUAAAUUGCUAAAACUCAAAGAUGGAGAGAAAAAGAUUAAAAGUAGCUAGAAAAACUCCUCAUAUUACAUACACAGGAACAAUAGGAAUGAUUCUGACUUCUCAUUAGAAACAAUGUGAGGCAGCAUAAUGGCACAUUUUUUAUAAGUGCUAAAAGGCAAAAUUGUGAAUCUAGAGUCCCAUUUUCAGAGAAAAUAGCCUUUAAAAAUAAAAAUGGGGCUUCCCUCAUGGCGCAGUGGUUGAGAAUCUGCCUGCCAAUGCAGGGGACACGGGUUCAAGCCCUGGUCUGGGAAGAUCGCACAUGCCGUGGAGCAACUGGGCCCGUGAGCCACAGCUACUGAGCCUGCGCAUCUGGAGCCUGUGCUCCGCAACAAGAGAGGCAGCGAUAGUGAGAGGCCUACACACCGUGAUGAAGAGUGGCACCCGCUCACCGCAACUAGAGAAAGCCCUCGCACAGAAAUGAAGACCCAACACAGCCAAAAAUAAAUAAAUAAAAUUUUUUUAAAAAAUGAAAUGAUUCAUAUUCAGAAACAAAAAAGUUAGGAAAAUUUGAAGACAGCAUGCUUGCUCUACAAGAAAUGUUAAGAAAAUUCUUUAGGCUCAAGGGAAAUUGUACUGAAGGAAAUUUGAAUUAACACACAAAAAUGAAAAGUACAAGAAUGGUGAAUAUGGGAAAAGUAUAAAAUAUUUUCCCCAUUUCCUAAUUUCUUUGAAAGCCAAUUUGAUUAAAAGUAACAAUAUUAACAUCUUGUAGGGCUUAUAACAAAUGUGGAUGUAAAACUUCUGAAACAGUAUGACACGAAGGGAAGGAGAAAAUGUAAAAUGUCCGGGAAGAUCCCACAUGCCGCGGAGCAGCUGGGCCCGUGAGCCAUGGCCGCUGAGCCUGCGCGUCCGGAGCCUGUGCUCCACAACGGGAGAGGCCACAACAGUGAGAGGCCCGUGUACCGCAAGAAAAAAAAAUUUUAGUAAAGGUAAAAAAGAUUUAAAUAAUCCUUUUGAUCCACUUAACCUGUUUAUCAUUAACAAAAUUCUACACCUAACAAAAGCAAAACACUUCUUAUUUUUAAAUACAUAUUGAACAGUCACUAGAAUAGAUCACAGAAUAAAACUCAACACUUUAAAAAGUAUUGAAAUAAUACUUUCUGGUCUCAAUAGGAUUAAUUAAGAAAUACUUAGAAAGUCCCCAAAUAUUUGAAAGUUAAGCAACAUACUUUUAAAUAACUCAUGGAUUAAAGAAGAAAUCAAAAUAAAAUUAGAAAGUAUUUUAAAAAUACUUUAAAUAGGAUUUUAAAAUUUGUGAAAUUCAGGUAAAGUAGUGCAUAGAAGGAAACUUAUGGCUUUAAGUACAUAUAUUAGAUAAGAAGAAAAAGUUUAGCAUCAAUGAUCCAUAAAGCUAAACGUGAAGAAAGAAAUUAAAUCCAAAAAUGUAGAAAGAAGGCAAUGUGAGCAGAAAUUGGUGAAAUGAAAGAUGGAGACUGUGCAGAAAAUCAAUAAAACAAAAAGAUGAAUAAAAUUCAUAAAUGCCUCAAAAGACUGAAGAAAAAACCACAAAUUAUUAAUAUCAGGAAUAAAAGAGAGGCAUCACUACAGAUCUGAAAGGCAUGAAAAGGAUAAGGAAAUAUGAACAGCUUUCUGCUAAUAAAUUCAGUAACUUAAUUAACAUGGCCAAAUUCUUGAAUGAAGCAAAUUUAUAAUAGUCAAAGAAAAAUAGAAAGUCUGAAUCACUCUAUAUCUGUUGAAGAAAUUGAAUUUGUAAUUAUAAACUUUCCCACAAAGAAACUCAGGGCCCAGAUUGCUCACUUGUCAAUUCUACCAAGUAUUUAAGAAAUAAUAAUGUACAUCUUAUGCAAAUUGUUUGGAAAAUGGACAAGGCAUCCCCUGACAUCAAACCAGGCAAGAACAUUUCAAGAAAAGAAAAUUACAGAAGGUUGUCCUUUAAAACACAGAUGUAAAAAUUCUUACCAAAAUAUUGGCUAUUAGAAUCCAACAACAUAUAAAAAGGGUAAUCAUGACCAACUAAGAUUUAUUCUAGGAAUUCAAGGUCAUUAAAACAUUCCAAUCAGGGACUUCCCUGGUGGUGCAGUGGUUAAGAAUCCGCCUGCCAGUGCAGGGGACGCAGGUUCAAGCCCUGGUCGGGGAAGAUCCCACAUGCCGCGGAGCAACUAAACCCAUGUGCCACAACUACUGAGCUUGCACUCUAGAGCCCGCGAGCCACAACUACUGAAGCCUGUGAGUCUAGAGCCCGUGCUCUGCAACAAGAGAAGCCACCGCAAUGAGAAGCCUGCGCACCACAAUGAAGAGUAGCCUCUGCUCACCACAACUAGAGAAAGCCUGCACGCAGCAACAAAGACCCAACGCAGCCAAAAAUAAAAAGAAAAAAAAAAAGAAAGAAAA